GCUAAUUACGCAAAGUACUGCUUGUAAUUUACACAGUAAUAAACUGUAAAUUUAAACAUUACGGCACUUUAAGUUAAUAAUUUUUCUGCUGUAACAAAUAGCUCAUUUUUCACCUAUCUUUUCUCGUGGCCCCAUUGCCAUGGUUGUGUCUGUGACCAAGAGGCGUAGGUGUAAAGAGUGAAAAAUAGGAAGAAUACAGUAUGGGAAGCCUUUUCAUUUAGCUCCACUCCCACCCAAAAUCUGACCUCCAAGUUAAUUUUUCUACAGUCAGUUCUGCUAAAAUGUGUACCCUCAUGUUUAGGCUAAUCCACACACAGAUGAGUACAGAUAAUAGUGUUUGCCCAGAAACAAAUGUGUUUGAGUAACAGGCUUGACAUUUUUGACAUUCAUGCCCAUGACUUACGCUCUUUCAUCUUAACACGUCCUCACACGCGUGUAACUCUUGCUCAUGUACUGUCAGUACGCUUGCCCAAGUUCUGUGAUAGAUACUCACUGUAAGUGUACUCAAGUUGAAUGAAGGGUGAGUGCCUUCUGCCAUUUUCCAGUUUUUUUGAGAUUAGUUUCUGAAUUGCU
rnacentral:lncRNA from 1 species